UACAGAGGGGGCAAGCGUUGUUCGGAAUUACUGGGCGUAAAGGGCGCGUAGGCGGCCUUCUAAGUCGAACGUGAAAUCCCCGGGCUCAACCCGGGAACUGCGUCCGAUACUGGAAGGCUUGAAUCCGGGAGAGGGAUGCGGAAUUCCAGGUGUAGCGGUGAAAUGCGUAUAUAUCUGGAGGAACACCGGUGGCGAAGGCGGCAUCCUGGACCGGUAUUGACGCUGAGGCGCGAAAGCCAGGGGAGCAAACGGG
rnacentral:rRNA from 1 species